GGUAUAUGUUUUCCAUAUAUAUAUCAAAACCUCGGGAUGUCAUGUUCCGAUACAGAUCAAAAGCAUAAACAAGACAUUAUAAGCCUUUCAACAGUUAUUUACAACUACUGGCCUAUAAUCCAAAAAUCUCUUGUCGUUCUCCGACUAUGCUCGGGGUCCACUACUUGUAACAUAAAAAGCUGAGUGGGUCAAGCUUGGGAGCCUGGUGAGCAUAUAGGGUUUUUCAACCCACAAUAAUAAUAUACUUAUUAAGUUCACCAAUCAACAAUAACCCUGAUUACCCAUUCCUGUUGUCCUCACUUUAUGUCCCUAAACACCUAUCACAAGGGACCUAGCCUAAGGAUUAUCAUCGGGAUGGACACUACUGCUAAGGCGAUUCCUCAGCAAUAAAUGUCCUAAAGGCAACCAUGUGGGGGAUGGAGUACAUCUGGUGAGCACACAGUUCAAAUAAACACACAGUUCGAAUAAACACCUACAGGUUGCUAGCCUGCUAGUGUUCCACUGGACUAUCUAGAAAGUCCGUGGUCGUCAUCUAUACUCCGCUAGAUGACUAGAUCAUCAAUAUCAUCUAUAACGAGGCCUUUCAUUAUUUCAUUUUAUCAUACAACAACUAUCAUAUCUACCCAUGUUCUACCCAACACAUUUUGUAGAUAAAAAGCAUAUACAAUUUAAAACUUGUAUAAAACAUCAAUUCAACAGUCACCUCGAAUAAACAAUUAGCAUAUUUACACAUAACACGUAUUUCAAGGUAAAUACUUCAUAUCUAUGUGUAAAUUGAAAGUAACUACACACUCACUUAUUUUGGUGAAAAUCGGGCAGCAAUUCGUUUCCUAAAACGAUCGUUUCUAAUAAAACCGGGAGUUUUAUUGAGAAACCGGGCUCUGCAAAAGUCGGGCUUCGAAACCGAAAAGAUAAAUUUUCCGGGCUUCUCGGGCACUUCGUGGGGUAUUCCGGGCUUUACAAUUGAUACCGGGGCUUUGCGGGAUGUUAAGAUGAAGAAAAUAUGGAGAGAGGGGCUAAAAAUGGCUAAAUUCCAAAAGUAACCGGAAACCCUCGCAGGUACCCUUCUAUUUAUAGGGUCCGAAGUUUGAUCCAANAUGGAGAGAGGGGCUAAAAAUGGCUAAAUUCCAAAAGUAACCGGAAACCCUCGCAGGUACCCUUCUAUUUAUAGGGUCCGAAAUUCUGAUCCAAGGGCUGAGAAGUCUCCUGUUCCGACGGCUAAGAAGGCUCGUAGGGGGUUGGCUCGGACAUGGCUCGCACAUGCGAGGGCUCGCUGGCGGCUUUUAAGUGGACCGCGGCUUACUGGCGCACCUACGAGGCGCGGAGCUAGGCUAUGCGAGGCUCGGACACACGCGGCAGCAGGGCGAAGCUUCGGCUGGGGAGCUGGCUGCUUCGGAUUGGGCCUCCUCCUCGGUCGAAUCAGAAGAGGACACGUGGCUCGCAUGACUCAGCAGCCUCGGUGACUCAGCAGCCUAAUGACUCAGCAGCCAGGUGACUCAGCAGGACACGUGUCACUUUCUAAGCGAGGGUGACGUGGCAAUUGUGACUAUGCGAAAUUUCUCGGUUUUCGUGCCAAAACUUCUAAAAUCCAUAACUUUCGCAUACGAGCUCCGUUUUUGACGUUCUUUAUAUGCACGCGUAGCUAAAAUUACGAUCUACAACUUCCGUUUAGACUUCGUCGGCUAAUUUUGAAUUUAAAUUUUAUAUUAUUAUUUUUAACAGACCGGGACAGGAAAUCCGUUAAAAAUUCAUAACUUCUUCAUCCGACGUCCGUUUUCGUCAGACUUUUUACCGUUGUGCUCCUAAUGACGAGACCUUCAAUUCUCGUUUAGGUUGUGUCGGCUAAAAAUCGCUCGAUCUAAAAUUCGAGUUUUUAGCUGUCUACUGCUACGCUGAAACUUCGAAAAAUCAUAACUUCCUCAUACGAAGUCAGAUUUGGGCGUUCUUUUUAUCGAACUUCUCGGUUUAACGAAUACUACGACUUUCGUUUAGAUUACUAAGGCUAAAAAGUAGUUUAUCAAAAACUCACUUUUUACGACAUUCAGCACCGUGCCGGUUUUGUCGCGAAACUUCGACAGGUCAUAACUUCUUCGUUAUAACUCGGAUUUUGGUAUUCUUUAUAUCCCCGAAAUCCUUGUUUCGACCACUACAACUUUAUGUAAAGAUAUCGGGCUUAUCUCACACUUUAAUUUUGACGCUUAUUUUUAUUCUUAAUUAAUUAAGCCCUAAUAAUUAAGCAUAAAACACAUAAUUCACAUAAUAUUCACAUAAUUCCUUUUCAUUUCUUCAAAAUGAGUUACAAAGGUUAACCUAGACUAUCAACUCAAUAUAAAUGCCUAGGCUAGAAACACGAGUGUUACAAUUCUCUCCCCCUUAGGAUGAUUCCGUCCCCGGAAUCACAUAUCACCAAACAACUGCGGGUAGCGACUCAUCAUGUCACUCUCCGUUUCCCAAGUGAGAUUUGGUCCAUUCGUAUGUUUCCAGCGCACAAGCACUAAAUCGACCAUCUUGCGUCGUAACUUCAUAGUCUUACGGUCAACGAUUGCCUCAGGUUCUUCGAUCAACCUCUUGUUUUCAUCCAACCUUAACUCAGAAAUCGGAAUUAUGUCGGGCACAUCUCCUGUGAACUUUCUCAAAUAACACACAUGAAAGGUGUUAUGAAUACCCUCUAGUUCUUCCGGUAACUCUAGCUUGUAAGCUUGAUUCCCGAUUCUCUGAAGAACUUUAAAUGGUCCAAUAAACCUUGGACUCAACUUCCCUCUCUUACCAAAUCUUAUAAGUCCCUUCCACGGCGAGACUUUAAGUAAAACCGAAUCUCCAACAUCGAAGGAUAUCGGUUGUCUUUUCUUGUCAGCAUAACUCUUUUGUCGAUCUUGAGCAGCUAACAUCCUUUCCCUUAUCACUUUCAACUUUUCAGCAGUCUCAUGGACUAUUUCAGGUCCCAUAAACUGCUUUUCCCCAGCUUCCAGCCAACAUGAUGGCGUUCGACACUUCUCCCCAUACAAAGCGUGAUAAGGUGCCAUCUUAAUGCUUGAGUGGAAACUAUUAUUAUAGGAGAAUUCUACUAAAGGUAAGUGUUCAUCCCAGUUACCUUGGAAUUCUAGGGUACAUGCUCUCAGCAUAUCCUCCAAUGUUUGAAUCGUUCGCUCGCUCUGACCAUCGGUUUGCGGAUGGUAAGCUGUACUCAAACACAACUUGGUACCCAAUUCCUCUUGUAGACUCCUCCAAAACCUUGAGGUAAAACGGCUGUCACGAUCGGACACAAUCGUUAACGGAACACCGUGAAGCCUCACAAUUUCCUUCACGUAAGAAUUCGCAAGUUUAUCCAUAGACCAUUUCUCUUUGGCCGCUAUGAAAUGCGCACUCUUAGUGAAGCGAUCAACGACCACCCAAAUCAUGUCGUGACCGUUCCUUGUUCUGGGCAGUUUAGUCACAAAAUCCAUGGUGAUGUCUUCCCAUUUACCCAUGGGUACGGGUAAAGGUUCUAAACUCCCAUACGGUUUCUGAUGUUGUGCCUUAACCCUAGCACAAGUUACACACUCGGCCACAUACUUAGCAACAUCGAGCUUCAUCGUCGGCCACCAAUAAUAGGGUUUUAGAUCCCUAUACAUUUUCGUACUGCCGGGAUGAAUUGAGUACAUGGUCUUGUGAGCUUCUUCCAUCAGAAGAUCUCUUAUUCCGCCCGUCUUAGGUACCCAAAUUCUAUCUUGAAAUACCUUCAACCCUUGGUUGUUUGUACCGAACACUAACGUUUUGCCCAAACGUUCUUCCUUUCGGUCAUUUUUCUCUAAAGCUUCCUCUUGAGCUUUCUUUAUACUUUCCACAAUUGUCGAGACAACUUCAAUUCUCAACGCUCUUGGCCUUUUCUUUUCAAGGUUUACCUUCCGACUGAGAGCAUCGGCAACAACAUUUGCUUUACCAGGGUGGUAAAGUAUCUCACAGUCGUAGUCCUUGAGUAACUCUAGCCAGCGUCGUUGCCUCAUGUUCAAUUCCUUCUGAUUAAAGAGAUAUUGGAGACUCUUAUGAUCAGUGAAAAGUUUACACUUGGUGCCAUAAAGAUAAUGCCUCCAUAUCUUCAAGGCAAAUACUACCGCUGCCAACUCCAAAUCAUGAGUGGGGUAGUUCUUUUCAUGUUCCUUCAAUUGCCUCGAUGCAUACGCGAUCACUUUAUCCCUUUGGGUCAGAACACAACCUAACCCAACUCCGGAUGCAUCGCUAUAAACUGCAAAGUCAUCAACUCCUUCAGGCAAUGAAAGAAUCGGUGCUUCACACAAUCUCUUCUUCAACUUCUCAAAGGCUUCCUUAUGCUUCUCAUUCCAAGCAUAAGUGGCUCCUUUGUGGGUCAAAGCUAUUAAUGGGGUAGCAAUCGAAGAAAAGCCUUGGAUAAACCUUCGGUAAUAUCCAGCUAAUCCUAAAAUGCUUCGAAUCUUCGUAGGGCUUUUUGGUUGUUCCCACUUCAUUAUAGCUUCAAUCUUUGCUGGGUCGACCAUUAUCCCUUCUUGGUUAACCACAUGACCUAAAAAUUGGACUUCUUGAAUCCAAAAUUCACACUUGGAGAACUUUGCAUACAACUUCUCCUUUUUCAGGACUUCUAGCACUUCAUGCAGACGCUUUUCAUGCUCCUGCUUGCUUUUCGAAUAAAUCAAGAAAUCAUCUAUGAGUACUAUCACGGAUUUAUCUAAGAAUGGUUUACAAACCGCCACACUUGUAGCAGGUUACUUCCUCGCCACAUUUUCCCGAGUGCUUCUUCUUGCACUUCUUGCACCAUUUAAAUUUAUUUCCUCCCCUGAACUUCUUUAAACCGAACUUGAUCUUUUUGCAGGGUUUAGCAGACCCUUCAAAUUUACUCUUCUCGCCAACCUCGACUUUGCUGGCAGCUCUUCCCUUAAUCAUGUCCUCCACAGACUUGGCAGCCCAGAUAGCUGCCUCCAAAGUAAGUGCCUGACGUACAGACAUCGCGUACUCCCAUGGAAGUCCCUUUGCGUACCUGUCUAUUUUUGCCAACUCAUCUGGGACAAUACGCAAAGCAAACUCCAUUUUGUCUGUGAAGUUAUUCGUAUAUUCGUCAACGGUCAUACUCCCCUUCUGCAACGUUAGAAAUUGGUUUUCUAACUCAAGUACGUUUUGGGCCGAGCAGUACUUGCGCUUGAAGUGCACUAAAAACGUUGCCCAAGUUAAUUGCAGUGGCUCAUUAGGGCUUAGGGUUUUCCCCAAAGUGGUCCACCAACGAACAGCACUACCCCUGAACCGAUGUAAUGCAAACGUAGUUUGUAACUUGCCUUGGCAAUCACAAGUCAUGAAAGCCAACUCCAUUUCCGAGAUCCAGUCUAUUACUACGACAGGAUCUUCUUUUCCAUUGAAGGUCGAUGGCUUGCAAGUCAUAAAGUCCUUAUACUUGCACCCAUUUCUCUCCAUUCUACCCUCGUGGUUAUUCCUCCCAACCACAAGCGGUUCACUAUGACCAACCGAUCUACUGUUGUUCCCUUCUUCAGAUCGAUCGUCAUUUAGUUCAUGUUGUUCAACAGGAACUGAAGGUUCAUCCCUGUCGUUCAGCAACAUUUGCCUCAAUUCCUCCUUCUGUUCAGCCAACAUGCUCUGAAUCAUGGUUCGUACUCCAGCCAUGGUGAUGGGUUCAAGUUCAGCUCCUACUAUAGGCACAUGUUCCACCACUUGAGGUUGAGGUUGUUGGUUUCUGUUUGCAUUUCCAGCUCCACUCCGAGUUCUUGCCAUUACAAUCUAUAUACCGAAUAAGGCGAAUUUUAGGUCUUUAUCCUUGCUAGACAUGUCAAUUCCCUUAUCACUCCGAAACGUUUACAUGUUAGUUCUAAUCUCGUAUUCAUACGCUUAGAAUCCUACACACAUAAGGUUUCCAGAUCCGGUCGGCAACAGACCAUAGAUCCGAACAAAUAAUGGCACACAUGGCAAACACAUAGCAUUUAGCACAUAAGGGCAUUUUAGGCAUCUUCCCUAAAAUAAACUAGUGCUCGUGUCUAAAAUAUGGUAGACACUCAUCUCACAAUCAUCACUUAGCAUUCUAAGUUCAAGUCUAGAAAUUCUACAAUUUCUUAGUUCGCUUAAACUAAUGCUCUGAUACCAACUGUGACAUCCCCAUAUUUCUCGGCCAGAAAAGACCGAUUUAAUUUAUGCUUUUUAAAAUAAAAUCAGAGAAAUCUUUUUAUAAGAUAUUGCGGAAUUGGUCCCCAAACAAUAUAUGAUAAAAGUUUAUCAAAAUCCUUCAUUAAGAAGGUAUAUAUUUUCCAUAUAUAUAUCAAAACCUCGGGAUGUCAUGUUCCGAUACAGAUCAAAAGCAUAAACAAGACAUUAUAAGCCUUUCAACAGUUAUUUACAACUACUGGCCUAUAAUCCAAAAAUCUCUCGUCGUCCUCCGACUAUGCUCGGGGUCCACUACCUGUAAUCAUAAAACUGAGUGGGUCAGGCUUGGGAGCCUGGUGAGCAUAUAGGGUUUUCAACCCACAAUAAUAAUAUACUUAUUAAGUUCACCAAUCAACAAUAACCCUGAUUACCCAUUCCCGUUGUCCUCACUUUACGUCCCUAAACACCUAUCACAAGGGACCUAGCCUAAGGAUUAUCAUCGGGAUGGACACUACUGCUAAGGGGUUUCCUCAGCCAUACAUGUCCUUAAGGCAACCAUGAGGGGGAUGAAGUACGCCAAUGAACAUUUAAUUCAUCAACACCUACAAGUUGCGAACCUGCUAGUGUUCCACUGGACUAUCUAGAAAGUCCGUGGUCGUCAUCUAUACUUCGCUAGAUGACUACAACAACAACAACAACAUCGACAUCGAGGCCUCUCACCAUUUUAACACACAUCAACUAUUUCAUCUACCCAUGUUCUACCCAACAUAUUUUGUAGAUAAAAAGCAUAUACAGUUUAAAACUUGUAUAAAACAUCAAUUCAACAGUCACCUCGAAUAAACAAUUAGCAUAUUUACACAUAACACGUAUUUCAAGGUAAAUACUUCAUAUCUAUGUGUAAAUUGAAAGUAACUACACACUCACUUAUUUUGGUGAAAAUCGGGCAGCAAUUCGUUUCCUAAAACGAUCGUUUCUAAUAAAACCGGGAGUUUUAUUGAGAAACCGGGCUCUGCAAAAGUCGGGCUUCGAAACCGAAAAGAUAAAUUUUCCGGG
rnacentral:lncRNA from 1 species